UGUCAUUUUGCAUACAGCUAGUAGGGACCAGUUUUUGUGUUACUUCUAGAGUUAAUACAAGAGCUUGAUUGUUUGAGGACAAGUAUUGAGAUUACAUUGACGCUCGAAAAGCAGCAGCCCAUUGGCAUCGAUUGCGCUUCGGUCGGUUAUUUCAUUCAAAUUGUACCGCGGUCGUUUUCUUUGAUCGGCGUUACGCAGCUCCGUUUUAAAUCAGUUUUGAUAUAGCAAUGCGAGUUUGUGCGCCAAAUUUUACAUGCUGCUGCCACAAAGCGAACGUGUCUAAAGCCUGUGAAUCACGUCAGCUGCGGCGCUUCACCGGCUGCCAGCGUGAAAAUUCAAUGCCAGCAAGGAGCUUGGAGACUACCUACGAAAACGGAAUAACCAUGCACCAUGUGGGUGUGCGCACCGCCUCCAAGAAACUGCUCAUAUCAGCACCCGCUCGGAUGCUUUAUCUCUGAACCUACCUCAAGUCAGCAGAGGAUGUUCCACUACAGAAAGUAAAUUCGUCGUCCCAAAUCCUCACAAGGAAACUGGACAAAAGAGAGAUCAUUGGUUUCCAAGCUACCCACACCAAGUCGUAAGAAGCUCAAGAGUCGCCUAUCCACCACCAAAGUUUACCAGGCGGACAAAUGCAAGCCUUAUACUGAAAAGCAGUGAUAGUGUACGGCAUGUUGAAGCAGUACAAAAUUGGGUCCACAAAUUGUUGCUUCUUGCUUCAUGAAUUACUCAGUUUAGAGGAAAUGUGCUGGCUUCAAAUUUCUUGGAUAGUGCAUGUGAUGGGGUGCACAUACUGUACUUUAAUCUACGUGUGAAACUUUGCAUAGAGUAUCACAUGUAACUUGGUAGCAAGUGGGCCAGUAGUAGUGUACAUUUAGCAGCACUUGUUCUUCCCAGUGAAUAUAGUUUGCUGCAAUUGUGGAGGCUGUUGGAAAGCAAUGGCAGGGAAAGCUACA